rnacentral:rRNA from 1 species
CCUACGGGUGGCAGCAGUGAGGAAUAUUGGUCAAUGGUCGAAAGUCUGAACCAGCCAAGUAGCGUGAAGGAUGACUGCCCUAUGGGUUGUAAACUUCUUUUAUAUGGGAAUAAAAUGUUCCACGUGUGGGAUUUUGUAUGUACCAUAUGAAUAAGGAACGGCUAACUCCGUGCCAGCAGCCGCGGUAAUACGGAGGAUCCGAGCGUUAUCCGGAUUUAUUGGGUUUAAAGGGAGCGUAGGUGGGAUGCUAAGUCGGCGGGAAAAGUGGGGUGCUCAACGCCGGCAAGCCGUGGAAACUGGCGUGCUUGAGUGCGCGGGAGGUAUGCGGAAUGCGUGGUGUAGCGGUGAAAUGCAUAGAUAUCACGCAGAACUCCGAUUGCGAAGGCAGCUUACUGAACUGUAACUGACGCUGAAGCUCGAAAGCGUGGGGAUCAAACAGGAUUAGAUACCCCAGUAGUC